rnacentral:rRNA from 1 species
GAUGAACGCUGGCGGCGUGCCUAAUACAUGCAAGUCGAGCGAACAGACGAGGAGCUUGCUCCUCUGACGUUAGCGGCGGACGGGUGAGUAACACGUGGAUAACCUACCUAUAAGACUGGGAUAACUUCGGGAAACCGGAGCUAAUACCGGAUAAUAUAUUGAACCGCAUGGAGCAAUAGUGAAAGACGGUUUUGCUGUCACUUAUAGAUGGAUCCGCGCCGCAUUAGCUAGUUGGUAAGGUAACGGCUUACCAAGGCAACGAUGCGUAGCCGACCUGAGAGGGUGAUCGGCCAAACUGGAACUGAGACACGGUCCAGACUCCUACGGGAGGCAGCAGUAGGGAAUCUUCCGCAAUGGGCGAAAGCCUGACGGCGCAACGCCGCGUGAGUGAUGAAGGUCUUCGGAUCGUAAAACUCUGUUAUUAGGGAAGAAAAAAUGUGUAAGUAACUAUGCACGUCUUGACGGUACCUAAUCAGAAAGCCACGGCUAACUACGUG